rnacentral:rRNA from 1 species
CGAUGAGAUGCCCAAUUCUAUGUAAAGUGCUUUCGAAGAGUCGAGUUGUUUGGGAAUGCAGCUCUAAGUGGGUGGUAAAUUCCAUCUAAAGCUAAAUAUUGGCGAGAGACCGAUAGCGAACAAGUACAGUGAUGGAAAGAUGAAAAGAACUUUGAAAAGAGAGUGAAAAAGUACGUGAAAUUGUUGAAAGGGAAGGGCUUGAGAUCAGACUUGGUAUUUUGCGAUCCUUUCCUUCUUGGUUGGGUUCCUCGCAGCUUACUGGGCCAGCAUCGGUUUGGAUGGUAGGAUAAUGACUAAGGAAUGUGGCUCUACUUCGGUGGAGUGUUAUAGCCUUGGUUGAUACUGCCUGUCUAGACCGAGGACUGCGUCUUUUGACUAGGAUGUUGGCAUAAUGAUCUUAAGCCACCCGUCUUGAAACACGGACCAAGGAGUCUAACGUCUAUGCGAGUGUUUGGGUGUAAAACCCGUACGCGUAAUGAAAGUGAACGUAGGUGAGAGCUCUUAAGAGUGCAUCAUCGACCGAUCCUGAUGUCUUCGGAUGGAUUUGAGUAAGAGCAUAGCUGUUGGGACCCGAAAGAUGGUGAACUAUGCCUGAAUAGGGUGAAGCCAGAGGAAACUCUGGUGGAGGCUCGUAGCGGUUCUGACGUGCAAAUCGAUCGUCGAAUUUGGG